GUAGGUGGCAAGCGUUGUCCGGAAUUAUUGGGCGUAAAGCGCGCGCAGGCGGUUCUUUAAGUCUGAUGUGAAAGCCCACGGCUCAACCGUGGAGGGUCAUUGGAAACUGGAGAACUUGAGUACAGAAGAGGAAAGCGGAAUUCCACGUGUAGCGGUGAAAUGCGUAGAGAUGUGGAGGAACACCAGUGGCGAAGGCGGCUUUCUGGUCUGUAACUGACGCUGAGGCGCGAAAGCGUGGGGGAGCAAACAGGAUUAGAUACCCUGGUAGUCCACGCCGUAAACGAUGAGUGCUAAGUGUUAGGGGGUUUCCGCCCCUUACGUGCUGCAGCUAACGCAUUAAGCACUCCGCCUGGGAGUACGCCGCAAGGCUG
rnacentral:rRNA from 1 species